CACAGAUCUUCUACGGAAAACCCUAAUCAGGUGCUCCCUUCCUGAUCUUCGUUCGUCUUCUAUCGGCGCAGCGAUCGUCCAGAAUCUGUAACGGUUAUGCUUUUAAUCGUCUUUAAUCGUCUUUAAUUCCUAUCCCACUCAAAUCAACCUCUUGAGCCGUUCAUCGGCUAUAUUGUGUAUAAAUAUAUGCUUCGAUUUCACAGAUGCGCUUUCCACGCUUUCCUAAUCUCACACCUUGCUCAUACUCAUAUCUUACUCAUCAUCUUCCUAAAUAGCUAUGACAAAGGUUUUCUUUUCCGAUCUCAAGACUGGGCGGUGCUCAUCCGUUGUGGAGGCGAGACUGCUUCGAUUCUGGGAGGCUAAGAACGUUAAGCGUGGUGGUGAGCUGAUGUGGAUGGAUCUGCUCAUGGUCGAUGUCAACUCAACCAUGAUGCAAGUCACGAUCAGUGCUGGCCGUCUCCCACAGUUCCGGGAUAGGCUCCUUGCCGGAGCAAUGUUUUCAUUGUCCGGUUUUGAUGUCUCCAGAUGCGCACAGAAUUUCCGGCUCACUGAUUCGUCUUUGAUGAUCCGGUUCAGCGAGACUACCUCAUUCCAACUUUUGACUGAACCUGACUCCCCCUUGCCAGAGGAAGCAUUCCGGUUCCGUAACCAACAGGAGCUAAUUGGUCUUGCCAAUACAAACACUCAGCUACCAGACAUCAUAGGUGAGAUAUUGAGUGUGAAGAGCACGGUUUGUGAUCCUCCAGAGGAGAAGAAUCGUGUUAUGGUGACUCUGAAGCUGGAAAGUGAUGAGACCGUCACUUCAACAAUGAGUUAAAUAUGUAAGUUUCUUCCCGUAGAAAUUCAUUAUUUCAUUCUUCUCCAUUGUUAAUUUAGACAUGUUCUUAAAGAGAGACUUAAACAGUUGGUUAGCGAAGAACAUGUCAGUGUCUUUUGUUUCAUUUUUUUCUGUAUCAGAUAUCAAAGAUCAUAACUUUUUUAGGUCAGAUAACUUUGACUUUCCAAUUAGACUUAUGUUGGUUGAAAUGAACUUGGUUCUGGAUCGUUACUUUUUAUAUGAAGUAGAUACUUUUAAAAUAUUCAGAUUACAUAAUAUAGUUCCAUUCUUUAUUGUCUUUCCAUGUUUUGUUUGUAACUCACGAACGGCUGCAACGUAAGAGGCACUGUGAUUUGAAAGAUGGUGGACGCAUCAAAGACAUAAGUCAUGAGAAGAAACACAUGAAGCAGUUUCUCAUCAAGGAAUGUCAUCGUUGCUUUGACACAUCACCAAAAAGAGCUGAUGAGCUUUUGAGAAACAUGGCGAGAGUAGAGAUACCAAUAAUAAUAAUAAGCAAUGAGUUCAAUAUCACCAUCCACAUCAGCAAUAUCAAUGGUUUAUCCAUAUCUGGUUUUGAGAUACAACAACUGGUUACUGGUGUCUCCAGUGUCUAUGAUUAUGAAAGGAUUUUGCACUACAGAACAAGCCUAUGGGAGGACCAACAAGGGAUCCUCAAUGAGAUAUCGUAGAGAAGUAUCUUAACUUGGACACAUAAGAGGCUGAUGAAGUAACAGAUAAUCUGUCAGUACGUUGAGGAGCUAGGAAACAUGGUUAGAAUGAAAGAGAAGGCAUAAACAAACUUUCGUGCUUAGAAUCUGUUUAUUUGUUGCUUAGUAUUACAAAAUGCAAUAUCUAUGUGAUGAACAAUCUUAGACUCAUGAAUUAGAGAAGAAGUAUUUAAGCGUAGAAGAAUAAAACAAAGAACUUUGAAGGUUAUAAAAAAAGAUUUAAUGAUAAAUUUUAUUCAAAAGAUUGCUAUUAUUAUGUGCAAUAUAUGAAAAUUUGAACGUGCUUUAAUGAUAUAUGUAUAUAACAGAAGCUCUGCAGAAUAAUCAAAGAUGAAAUACGAUGAUUGGUAAUAGGAAAAAACAAUUGGUCAGAGAAAGAUAUGUUUUUCUCCAAAAGAAAGAUGCGUAAAAAGAUUACUACAAAAAUGAAUGAAUAAAUUUGAUACUAAUAUAUACAAAACUACGUUUCGGAGCUGAUAGGUGAUUCCACUGUCAGCAGCUUUUUUAUCCAGCUUCGUUGUACCCAAAUGAACGCAUCUAAUGUCAUUCAAUGCAAGAAAACGUCAGUUAUAACUCAAGCUGGUUAUAUGAACAAAUACAUAAACAUAACAAGAUAUUAAAAAAAUAUUUAGGGGAAACACAUAAUAUACUUUGAGAUUAGUGAAAAUUUUAGUCAACAGAUAACAUUGGGUAAAACUUACAUAAAUAUAAUUUAAAAGUACAUCAGAAAAAAUAGAGAAAUCAAUAAGAUCUAGAAGAGGAAAAUUCAUUUACAAUAUUGUUUUUUUUUUAUAUUUCAUCAAAACUAAUCCAAGGGGAAAAAAGUGAAUCUAAAUUUGUUUACACUAAGCUCAGAAUAAGAAACAUUAACAAAAUAAUAUGAUGAAAACUACAAUAAAAUAACAAAAUAUCAUAAGUAAAAUAUAAAUAAAUAACUUGAGUUUUGUGAAAAUUUAGUCAACAAAUAAUAAUUUAAUAAAAAUAUAUAAUCCAAACAUAUAUAUAUAUAUAUAUUAAAAUAUAUUAAAAACUAUAAGUACAAAAGGAAAAAAUCCAUUUACAAUAUUAGGCAUGAAUUAGGUUAGGCAUGAAUUGGUUAAUUUCAAGAAUAAAUAUGGAAAAUUCAUAACAACAACAAAUAGAAGUACAUAGGUUUUUAAAAAAUAUAUAUUUUUUAAAUGAAACAACACAUCUGGUACAUUACAUAACA